rfam:Elusimicrobia bacterium GWA2_66_18 gwa2_scaffold_1027, whole genome shotgun sequence.
GGGCCGUUAGCUCAGCGGUAGAGCGCCCGCCUUACACGCGGGAUGCCGCAGGUUCGAUCCCUGCACGGCCCA